UCUGACGCUGGCGGGCAAGCUANCACAUGCAAGUCGAGCGGAAACGACACUAACAAUCCUUCGGGUGCGUUAAUGGGCGUCGAGCGGCGGACGGGUGAGUAAUGCCUACGAAAUUGCCUUGAUGUGGGGGAUAACCAUUGGAAACGAUGGCUAAUACCGCAUAAUGCCUACGGGCCAAAGAGGGGGAUCUUCGGACCUCUCGCGUCAAGAUAUGCCUAGGUGGGAUUAGCUAGUUGGUGAGGUAAUGGCUCACCAAGGCGACGAUCCCUAGCUGGUCUGAGAGGAUGAUCAACCACACUGGAACUGAGACACGGUCCACACUCCUACCGGAGGCAGCAGUGGGGAAUAUUGCACAAUGGGCGAAAGCCUGAUGCAGCCAUGCNGCGUGUAUGAAGAAGCCUUCGGGUUGUAAAGUACUUUCCGUUGUGAAGAAGGGGGUAACGUUAAUAGCGUUAUCUCUUGACGUUGAGCAACAGAAUAAGCCCCGGCUAACUCCCGUUCCCCCAA
rnacentral:rRNA from 1 species